UGGCGGACGGGUGAGUAACGCGUGAGGAACCUGCCUUGUACUAGGGGAUAGCCUCGGGAAACCGGGAUUAAUACCCUAUGAUACUUGAAAAUCGCAUGAUUUUCAAGUCAAAGCGAUUAAGCGGUAUAAGAUGGACUCGCGUCCCAUUAGCUAGUUGGUGAGGUAAUAGUUCACCAAGGCGACGAUGGGUAGCCGGCCUGAGAGGGUGAACGGCCACACUGGAACUGAGACACGGUCCAGACUCCUACGGGAGGCAGCAGUGGGGAAUAUUGCACAAUGGAGGGAACUCUGACGCAGCGACGCCGCGUGAGCGAUGAAGGUUUUCGGAUCGUAAAGCACUGUCCUAAGGGACGAUAAUGACGGUACCUUAGGAGGAAGCCCCGGCUAACUACGUGCCAGCAGCCGCGGUAAU
rnacentral:rRNA from 1 species